rnacentral:rRNA from 1 species
AGAGUUUGAUCAUGGCUCAGGACGAACGCUGGCGGCGUGCCUAAUACAUGCAAGUAGAACGCUGAAGAAAGGAGCUUGCUUCUUUUGGAUGAGUUGCGAACGGGUGAGUAACGCGUAGGUAACCUGCCUUGUAGCGGGGGAUAACUAUUGGAAACGAUAGCUAAUACCGCAUAACAGCUUUUGACACAUGUUAGAAGCUUGAAAGAUGCAAUUGCAUCACUACGAGAUGGACCUGCGUUGUAUUAGCUAGUAGGUAGGGUAACGGCCUACCUAGGCGGCGAUACAUAGCCGACCUGAGAGGGUGAUCGGCCACACUGGGACUGAGACACGGCCCAGACUCCUACGGGAGGCAGCAGUAGGGAAUCUUCGGCAAUGGGGGCAACCCUGACCGAGCAACGCCGCGUGAGUGAAGAAGGUUUUCGGAUCGUAAGGCUCUGUUGUAAGAGAAGAACGUGUGUGAGAGUGGAAAGUUCACACAGUGACGGUAACUUACCAGAAAGGGACGGCUAACUACGUGCCAGCAGCCGCGGUAAUACGUAGGUCCCGAGCGUUGUCCGGAUUUAUUGGGCGUAAAGCGAGCGCAGGCGGUUUAAUAAGUCUGAAGUUAAAGGCAGUGGCUUAACCAUUGUUCGCUUUGGAAACUGUUAAACUUGAGUGCAGAAGGGGAGAGUGGAAUUCCAUGUGUAGCGGUGAAAUGCGUAGAUAUAUGGAGGAACACCGGUGGCGAAAGCGGCUCUCUGGUCUGUAACUGACGCUGAGGCUCGAAAGCGUGGGGAGCAAACAGGAUUAGAUACCCUGGUAGUCCACGCCGUAAACGAUGAGUGCUAGGUGUUAGGCCCUUUCCGGGGCUUAGUGCCGCAGCUAACGCAUUAAGCACUCCGCCUGGGGAGUACGACCGCAAGGUUGAAACUCAAAGGAAUUGACGG